AUCCAUCAAUAGCUCAGCUGGUAGAGCAUGAGGCUCUUAAUCUGAGGGUUGUGGGUUCGAGCCCCACGUUGGGCA